UACAGAGGGUGCAAACGUUGCUCGGAAUUAUUGGGCGUAAAGCGCGUGUAGGCGGCUUGUCAAGUUGGUCGUGAAAGCCCAUGGCUCAACCAUGGAAGUGCAACCAAAACUGGCAAGCUUGAGUUCUGAAGAGGAUGGCGGAAUUCCCAGUGUAGAGGUGAAAUUCGUAGAUAUUGGGAGGAACAUCGGUGGCGAAGGCGGCCAUCUGGGAAGCGACUGACGCUGAGACGCGAAAGCGUGGGUAGCAAACAGG
rnacentral:rRNA from 1 species